rnacentral:rRNA from 1 species
UCCAGAGGGUGCGAGCGUUGUUCGGAAUUAUUGGGCGUAAAGGGCGCGUAGGCGGUGCGGUAAGUCACCUGUGAAAUCUCCUGGCUCAACUGGGAGUCUGCAGGCGAAACUGCCGUGCUGGAGUGUGGGAGAGGUGAGUGGAAUUCCCGGUGUAGCGGUGAAAUGCGCAGAUAUCAGGAGGAACACCGAUGGCGAAGGCAGGUCUCUGGGCCACUACUGACGCUGAGAAGCGAAAGCGUGGGGAGCGAACAGG